rnacentral:misc_RNA from 1 species
GGCCCCAAAAAAAAAAAAAGGAUAGCAAAAUAGGGGGGGAUUUCGGAAUUUGCAUAGAAAAGGGACUGCCGACGGUGUCGGUGGAGAGGCUGCGGCGUCGGAGCUGGUGCUGUUACAACAGUGAUCCUUAUGAAUGCAAGGAUUUAUUCCCUAAUAUACUGUACUUGUUCAUAUUUAAUUCAUAUCUAUAUCUGAUAGUCGGCGAAAUUUUGAUUUUAGUUUUAGGUGGAGAAGCGUCUAGAAGAACCAAACAUCUGAUCAAGGAGGAUGACGAUAGCCAUGGCCACCGAUGUGUCCAUUUUCGGCCCUACAAUGAGCCGACUCCAAAUGCCACUCCUCCAACCGCCUCUUUCUGUUUAAUCUCCGCGACCUUCCUCCUAUUCUCGUCGUACACCGCGCAGGUCCGUUGCGCGUACGAUCCUUCUAUUUCGUAUACUAUGUUCUUUCCAUUGCUAGAGCUUCUACUACCGGUUGUAACUGAGCUCACGUGAGCCAAACUCUUGCUGUUAAGGAUGUUCACGUGCUUCCUCAUCGAGAAGCGGGGAUUCCCCGCCGUUUCUCCGUCGUAAACCAGCCAGUUGUCCGUUAAGCUCAGCCUCUGAUUUAUAAAUAAAUUGUAAAAGAAUUUAAACUUCAAACUCAGGAUGAAUAUUAAUUGAAUUCACAGAUUACUACGAACCUUGCGUCGAAUGGUGAGGAGAGGCUUGCCUCCGGCAUCCAUGAGAAUGAUCUCGCCUUUAGUACCAGAGCCAGCCAUGUAAUUAUCAACUCUAAAAACGAG